rnacentral:rRNA from 1 species
AGAGUUCGAUUAUGGCUCAGAUUGAACGCUGGCGGUAUGCUUAACACAUGCAAGUCGAACGGAAACGAUACUAGCUUGCUAGUAGGCGUCGAGUGGCGGACGGGUGAGUAACGCGUAGGAAUCUGCCUGAUAGUGGGGGAUAGCCCGAAGAAAUUCGGAUUAAUACCGCAUAAUCUAUUCGUAGUAAAGUGGGGGACUUUCGAGCCUCACGCUAUCAGAUGAGCCUGCGUAAGAUUAGCUUGUUGGUAGGGUAAAAGCCUACCAAGGCGACGAUCUUUAGCUGGUCUGAGAGGAUGAUCAGCCACAUCGGGACUGAGACACGGCCCGAACUCCUACGGGGGGCAGCAGUGGGGAAUAUUGGACAAUGGGGGCAACCCUGAUCCAGCAAUACCGCGUGUGUGAAGAAGGCCUGAGGGUUGUAAAGCACUUUCAAUUGUGAAGAAAAGUUAGCGGUUAAUAACCGUUAGCCUUGACGUUAACUUUAGAAGAAGCACCGGCUAACUCCGUGCCAGCAGCCGCGGUAAUACGGAGGGUGCAAGCGUUAAUCGGAAUUACUGGGCGUAAAGCGUGCGUAGGCGGUUUAUUAAGUCAGAUGUGAAAGCCCCGGGCUUAACCUGGGAACUGCAUUUGAAACUGGUCAACUAGAGUAUGGUAGAGGAAAGUGGAAUUUCUGG